UGCUCCCCCACCAAUAAGAAAUACUCGCACUUAAAUAAGAAAAUAAUAUUGAGCGUGCAUCUGAGCACGUUGUUGUUGCUGAAAUUGUUUUUGUUUGCCUUUACAGCAUGCUGAAAAAGCGUCAUUUCUUGUUCGCUGCCGUCAACUGGUCAAUUUGUUGGUGGGAAUUUACUCGACUUAUUCGCCGUUGAUUCUGACUUCGCUUCAUGUGCUGCCGCUGGCGGACGGCUUUGCUUUGGCGUAUUUGUUGGCGUCCAACUCUUCUCAGUACAAUUGUGACCGUUAUUUCGACAAGUUGUUAGUGCGUGUGAAAUUCGCUUAAACGUUGCUUCCGUUCGGCAUAAUUUGUUGUGUGUGCUUGCUUUGAAACGUCAUAUUGAAUAGCAGUAAAUGAAAUUUGAUGAAGUGACAUCGUAAGGUCGAGACAAGCAAAACAAAAAGCACAACCCAGUCAACACCAAAGCAGUAAAGUUUCCUGUUUAUAAGCAACAAAUUACAACAACAUUCUGCAAAAUAUUUAUUUCAGAAUUUCAAAUAUUGUGUGUAAAAAAUAUACAAAUGUGCGUAGUGUAAAGGAAGAAUUUGAAUAUACAUAUGUAAAAAAAAUAUAAAAAAGUUAUAAAUCAUAAAUAACAACUAAGGUGUUACAAACCACAAAAAAUUUAAUAAAAGUUAAGUGAAAUAACAAAUAAAAAGAUAAUAUUUUCAAUUGAAUCCAAUAAAAACACAUCAACUAAUAAAAAAAAAAAAUAAAUAAUUACAAAAAACUACUUUUAAAAUUAAAUAUAUAAUUUAAAACACUGGAACAACAACAAAAAAUUUCUGCAUAUAAAUAAUAAAUUGAGAAAAGUGGAUUUAAUACAGCUACAUAAACAAAAAUAUAUAAUAGCAAACUCAGUAUAUUUAUAAAAUAUAUUAAAAUCCAUGGAAUUUUCAAAAAUUGUGAAAUACAAAGAUUUUUUUAAGUAAAAUAAAAGUAAACUGCAAAAAAAUAUCCUAGCUGGGCUAGCAAUAAUUAUCUGAAAAUACAAAUUAAAAUACAAAUUAAGUGAAAGUUAAAAAAAUAUAAAUUGAUUUCUGUAAAAUCGUAGAAUUUUCAACAACUAAAUAGCAAGCGAAUUCACUUGUUUAACUGUAAGCAACAAAACUGCUAGUAAAAAAAGUGUAAAGCAACAAAUUUGUAAUAAAUUUAAUUGGUUUUCUCAAACCACACAACUUUCAUAUAAUAAUAAGAAUAAUAAUAUAAAAAAAUUGAAAAUAAAUAUAAAAAAAUAAAAUUAUUAAAUAAAAAAAAAAAGAUUUUUCACGCAUGAAUUCUAAAGCAUUUUUCCAACUCAAGUACUUAAUGAAAGUGCUUAAGUUACUACCAAGCUUAAGUUACCAAUAAAAAAUAUUUAAAAUUAUAUAUCAAAAAUAUAUAGCAGAAAGCAACAUAAAGUGUUUGGGUUAAAAAAAGAAAUUGUAAUUAAGUGGAUAUAAGUGAAAGAAAAUUUUAAUAAUCGCGCGCAGUGCAAAUUCAGUGAAGAGAAAUUUUAUAAAUAUAACAAAAUUAAAUUAUCUGUUGCCACUGAGCGAAGCAAAAAUAAUUAUAAAAUAAUCGCAUUAUAUUGUGCGUCAGUGUUUUUUAUUCAUUCAACAGCAUUCAAUUAACAGCAGCAGCAGUAAGCAGCCAAAUCAGUCAAGAUGCUUUUCGAGAAUCCCGCAUUAGCCGCCAAACUACCAUUCCCGUACAAUGUGCCACCACCGUUACAGGCGGCCGCCGCAGCAGCAGCGGUUCCAAAUCUAAGGUAAGCAGUCUUUGAUGAUAUUUCAAUUCCGGCUUAAAAAGGGUAAUUUAUAAUUUUAUAAACCAGAAUAACUGUAACAAACCUUCUUUUUACAUACAUAAGUACAUUUUAUACAAGCUUUGAAAGCUUUUCUUGCAAACAGAAGCCAUUGCAGACGCAUUGACUCCAAAAGGCUCUGUUAAAAUCGACAAUAAACAAACAACAAAUAAGAAAUAAAAGUACAUAAAUCUAUGUAUAUUAGGGUGGACCCAAAAAUUCUAAUAUUUUUAUUCGUUGGGUUGCCCGAAAACUGGGUUCUUAGACACCUCUACAAAAAGUUCUCCAAGUAUGAGCUUUUAAUUGUAACGGCAAGCUCUUCUGCCUUAUAGUUUUCUAUUUAUUUGCUUACUAUCAGAUAGAAAAGUUCCUAUCUCACUUCCAUUUGAAAAAAUAUUCUCCUUUUAAAGAUUUUGUUUGAAAACAUUUAAUUUCGUAGAAAUGCCUAAGAACCAAGUUUUCAGGGUACUAACCAAAAAAUACUCAUUUUUUUUACUCACCCUAAUGUUCACCGUUUUAGUGAAACAUUUUGCUGCAGACCCACAAGCAACUUUUCGAAUCGAAUUAAAACGUAAUGCAAGACAAAUGAAAUUGUAAGCAAGCGUACAAAAUGAAUGUAGCAAUCAAAAGGAGUGAGGAAAAAUGAAAUGUCAUCGCAGCAAUAUGCCCUUAGUUGGCACCUCAAUGUGGCAAUGAAAAGGUGACAGGGCGUUUGAUGGGCUGUUAGUAGUUAUUAUACACAUAUAUAUACUUACAUAUAUACAUGGAUAUGUUUUCAUAUACAUAUGUACAUAUGUCGCAUUGAUAGUAUAUUUUUGCUGCCAUUUAAGAAAGCGGCAAUACACUGAAGCAGGUCGCAACUGAUGCAACAAGCAAGAAAUGGCAAGGCAAUUGACAUAGCAAUUGAAAUGAUUGCAAAUUCUAGGAAAAUUAUAAGUAUAGCUACAAAUAUACAGAUGUAUGUGUGUGAAAACAGACAGCUUAUAUUGGUUAAGAAGCCGCAUGUUGCAUGCUACGUGCAACUGAAAAAGGCAUUAUGCCGCAAAUGUUGCGUACAUGCGAUGCGUAGCAAAGAAAACUAAGUACAUACGUAUUUAGUUGAUCAAACUAUUUACAGUUGUACAUGGAAUUGUAACGUGCCACAAUUUGAGCGUCAUGUAUGUCAUGAUGUUGCGCUGAAGUUACGUAAGGCAGUUGCAUUAUUCAACGAUUUUAUGUUUUGUUGCUCAUACCUUUUUUAGAAGCUUAGCCCAACUUCUUCUCUUAGUUUUGGCCUGCAACUAUAUUUUAUGUUGGAAAAGGAAGUCUCCGCGGCCGAAUGAGUUCGUGGUAGAAAUCUCUUCAGAGUCUUUUCGUUACAGUUUGUUAGAGUGCUAGCUUGCAUUAACUAUGAGUAUCGUUACUCACGACAUCUAUGGACAAAAUACGAAAAGAUUUUUUCGACUACCCAAAUUGCCCGAAUCUUGCCUAUCCUCUAAAGGUUUUUUAAUCCAACUAAUAAUUUUCUUGCACUUUUGUAGCCUGAAUUAUUAAACUAGGAAAUAUAUUUUUACUGCAAUAAACGACCGCAAAUGAAGUCUUGCUUCGAAAAAUAAGCAAUCUACAUUUAUCUUCGUAUAUAUGUACCUUUGUAUCUACUAACGUACUUAUAUAACUUCUGAUAUUUAUAUGCAGCUAAUAAAAGAGCACAGCAUGAAGCAACUCAAAUAGAAUGUCAAUUUUCAUAUAAAUAUUUAUGCAUUUCGUAUUGAUUUGCUGAACGUUAAUAACGGAAAUUUGAGGCUGCAGGCUGAUACACUGCACACACACAUUUACACAAGCAUAUAGUUUCGUUUCACAUAACUCAAACAUCCGUUGACAAUAUUUAUGCCAAGUGCAGCAGAUUCACUGUUACAAUAUACUUGGAACUAUGUACAUAUACAAGGUUUGUCGCAAAAGAAACAGGACUGUUAAAAAGAAAACAACAAAAAAAUUAUAUUUUUCAAAAGUUAUAUUUUUUUAUUCAAAGCAAUUUCCUUGUGCUUCGAUACAGCAUUUAGCCCGGUCAAUUAGCAUUUCAAAUGAGUGUUUAUGAUUAUUUUUCGGAAUGCUCUUGAGAAUAUUGGUCGUCACCUUUUGAAUACCUGAAAUGUCCUGAAACCAGUGUCCUUUCAUGGGCAAAUGAAGUUUUCCAAAUAGGUAAAAAUCACAGGGUGCCAGAUCUGGUGAGUAGGGUGAGUGAUUCAUGGUUAAUAAGGAGUUUUUUGUCAAGAAAUCAGUGACAAGCGUCGACCGAUGACACGGCGCAUUAUCGUGCAACACGCGCCAGGACCUUGGACAUGGAGCACACCUUCCGUAGACACAAUUUAUCUAUCAAAAUGCGAUGAAUGGAGUCUUUGGUGAUAUUUAACUCCAUUUCCAUGUAACGCAAAGAAGAUUUCGGCUCAAUCUUAAUAAAUUCCUGCACUUUUUCAAUAUUGUUUUGGGUAAUCACUGAUUUUGGCCGGCCCGACUUCUGAUCGUCACAGAGGUCCUCACGACCUUCUUGGAAUCGCUUAAACCAUUCAUGCACAUUACUACAGGAUAGGCACUGAUCACUAUAAACUUUUUUCAUCAUUUGAAAUGUUUCAGUAAACGUUUUCCCAAGUUUAAGAAAGAAAAUUUAAUAUUUGCUCUUUGUUCAAAAUGCAUUUUACGACCGAUGACCAAAAGCUGCUGUCCCUUUUUGAUUGAUAACAUCGAUUGUAGUUAUCCAAUUGUCUUAAAAUUUUUACGAAAUGUCAACAAGAGAUCCAGCUUUUUAUUUCAUAUACCCACCAGUAGGUGGCGCCACCAGAAACAGUUAUAUUUAAAAAGUUCUGUUUCUCUUGCGACAGACCUUGUAUGAUAGUGCAUUUAUUUUUGAAUUUUUAGCCUGCAGGGAACACAAAAAAAUGUAUAAAUUUUUUCAUUGAUCUGGAACUAGUUCAUCGCACCUCAUUACAGUCUUCUAUUCGCAACUUAUGUUAGGUUAGAACAAAGUCCGCGUUAGAACAGAGUCUCGUCAAAUAAAUUUGCAUGUGAAAACUGCAACGAUUCAAUAUGAGAAGAUAACUUUCUUAAAGCGACUAGCGAUUCGACCAUUCUUCUAUUCUUACUUGGUUGUGGCAAUAUUUAUGUAAACGUUUCUCUUUUCAGCUCUUCAAGUUUAGCGUAUCGUAGACUGCUGUAAUGUGUGAGUUUUUGUCAUGAUUUGAACCAUCGAUCUGGUAUUGGUUAUGGUUAGGUUAGGUGAGGCUAGGUAAGAUUUGCUUAGGUUAGGUUACGUGAAGAGCUUGAUCUUAAGAGGGAUCUCACUUGCACAGCUUUGAACGGUCCGUUGUGGUACCUAAAAACUUCUAUAUAGGGUCCCUUACUGAUCGACAAAUCGCCUGGAGCCAAUCACAAAUUUGCUGAGACCGCCUUUUGACUUUAUUGACUAAUGCUGAUUAUCGUCGUUUUUCCUGCAGGGUACAUACACUUGAAGAUCAAAUAUGAUGUGCACAUUUUAAAGUUUAUAAUGGCUAUGCAUAUACAUACAUAUUAGUAGCUAUUUCGCUUUAUAACUCUGUGUAAUAUUUCUGUCUUUACUCCUUACACCAUACGGAAUAUUUAUAUACCAUAUAUUAUAUAUGUAUAAUGCUAUACCAUAUAUACAUACUUAUACAUAUUUGUAUGUGCGUAACUCUAUUUGUCAGUAUAUCUGUAUAUAAGCAACAGUGGGUUAAUAUUUUAUAUAUUUCACCCAAAGAAAGAGAGAGAAAUGGACAUGUUAGUUAUAUCUUGGUCAGCUAUUGCGGUUUCAUCUUCUCAAUUUUCUAGUAGAUAUCUAGAAAUGUGCGUUGGUUAUCGAGAAGACGAUGACACUGAAAGCUUACUUUCCGUCUAUUAUACUACUAUGAAGUUGAUUCGAUGUCUUUUGAUCUCUUUAUCAUGACAUAUAAAAUACCACUAACGCUGGAUACUCCUGAAAAAUAUCGUUAUAGAAACGCACGUCCGCCCUGAAAACUUGAAAUCCCUAAAUUCAUCAGUUUGAACCCGAUAGGGAAAGGAGGGUACCCAGUAUACAUUUCUAUUAUCUGAAUGAUGAUACCAACCAUUUUCAUUUCUCAGGGCUUAACCAGCUGAUCAGCAUAUCUUUCAUUAAGAGCUCAGGCUUUCCCGUUGCAAAGUUAAAAUAAUGGACUUUAACAUAUUGGCAUUAGACUCAACUAAAUUUUUCAUUUCUUCCAAAGCUUAGUGUCGUUUGAUGCACCGCACCGCAAUAUCAAAAUAUUAAUUUCCAGCAUGUCUCUAGUCACAUAAGUGUUUGUUUUUAUUUGUAUGUAUAAACAUGCCGCAUACGUGUGGUACAGAACUUGCAGCGUGCACUAAAUAUUUUCAAUAAUUUAUAGUUGCUCCCUUUCGCAUUUGAACAUUUAUCCGUUUGACACAUGCUCGUGCGGUGAGCGCAACUUUUGCGGUGCUUGUUUUAUAAACAGAGUAUUUUCUGAAAUUUUUACUCGAUACGCUGUAGCUACAUACAUACAAGUACAUGUAAAUGUGGAUCUAAAUAUAUACAUAUGUUUUUCUUAUUUGUGUAAAUACCCCAUCGAAACACUUAUAUAUGUACAUAUAUAUUUACUUAUAAUAACCGAAGCAUUUUCGUUCUAACACACUUCCCCUUUAAAAAUAUGUACAUCGUUUGGCGUAAAAUUUUCGCAAGUUUAUUGGUUAUUAUUAUUAUUUCUGUUCAUUUUCUAGAGGAAACCACUACACGUUUGCAUUACAAAUAUUGAAGAUCACUCCUUAAGGACUCGUUUUACCAAUCUCUUAGCUGUUCUCAUACUCGUAUGUGGUUUGGUAUGAUCCAGAGCACCUUUGACAAACAUCUCUUAAGCGAUAAGCAUAUGUUAUAUUUUUCGUUGGAUCAUAUUGUAAUCAUUUAUUUUCAAUGCUUUUGUUUCAAUACUUAUGAAACAUUUUCGGUGAUUUCCGCCGAGGAUUUGAAGGACGACAUUGUCCACGGAACUUAAAAAUAAACCAAAUUUUGGGAUUCAACUGAGAAACGGCAAAGCUGGCUUUCAACAUCAAAAUAUAGGGUGGUCGAAAAAGUUGGUUCGUAUUUCUAAUCAAAUUUCAAGUUGUUUUUUUUUUUUUUGUAUAUUUAAAAUGACUUAAAUUAUGGAGGGAACACUUCUCCAGUCUGCUGAAUGGCUGAUUCCCCAAUCGAUGGCGAUAGAGCAGACGUUCCAUUGCCCGACCAUGAAGAAGUUCGAAUAGCAAUCACCCGCCUGAAGAACAACAAAGCGGCAGGGGCCGAUGGAUUGCCGGCCGAGCUAUUCAAACACGGCGGCGAAGAACUGAUAAGGAGCAUGCAUCAGCUUCUUUGCAAAAUAUAUUCGGACGAAAGUAUGCCCAACGAUUGGAAUUUAAGUGUGCUAUGCCCAAUCCAUAAAAAAGGAGACCCUACAAUCUGCGCCAACUACCGUGGGAUAAGCCUCCUCAACAUCGCGUACAAGGUUCUAUCGCGCGUAUUGUGUGAAAGAUUAAAGCCCACCGUCAACAAACUGAUUGGACCUUAUCAGUGUGGCUUUAGAACAACCGACUAUAUAUUCACCAUGCGCCAAAUUUUGGAAAAGACCUGUAAAAGGAUAAUCGACAUGCACCACCUAUUCGUUGAUUUCAAAGCUGCUUUCGACAGUACGAAAAGGAGCUGCCUCUAUGCCGCGAUGUCUGAAUUUGGUAUCCCCGCAAAACUAAUACGGCUGUGUAAACUGACGUUGAGCAGCACCAAAAGCUCCGUCAGGAUCGGGAAGGACCUCUCCGAGCCGUUCGAUACCAAACGAGGUUUCAGACAAGGCGACUCCCUAUCGUGCGACUUCUUCAAUCUGCUGCUAGAGAAAAUUAUUCGAGCUGCAGAACUUAAUCGAGCAGGUACAAUCUUUUAUAAGAGUGUACAGCUGCUGGCGUAUGCCGAUGAUUUUGAUAUCAUCGGCCUCAACACCCGCGCCGUUAGUUCUGCUUUCUCCAGACUGAACAAGGAAGCAACGCAAAUGGGUCUGGCAGUGAACGAGGGCAAGACGAAAUAUCUCCUGUCAUCAAACAAACAGUCGUCGCACUCGCGACUUGGCACUCACGCCACUGUUGACAGUCAUAACUUUGAAGUUGUACGAGUAGAUAAUUUCGUCUACUUAGGAACCAGCGUAAACACCACCAACAAUGUCAGCCUAGAAAUCCAACGCAGGAUAACUCUUGCCAACAGGUGCUACUUCGGACUGAGUAGGCAAUUGAGAAGCAAAGUCCUCUCGCGACAGACAAAAACCAAACUCUAUAAGUCUCUCAUAAUUCCCGUCCUGCUAUAUGGUGCAGAGGCUUGGACGAUGUCAACAGCGGAUGAGUUGACGUUGCGAGUUUUCGAGAGAAAAAUUCUGCGAAAGAUUUAUGAUCCUUUGCACAUUGGCCACGGCGAAUAUCGCAUUCGAUGGAACGAUGAGCUGUACGAGAUAUACGACGACAUUGACAAAGUUCAGCGAAUUAAAAGACAGCGGCUACGCUGGCUAGGUCAUGUUGUCCGGAUGGAUGAAAACACUCCAGCUCUGAAAGUAUUCAACGCAGUACCCGCCGCGGGAAGCAGAGGAAGAGGAAGAUCUCCACUCCGUUGGAAGGACCAAGUGGAGAAGGACCUGUCUUCGCUUGGAAUAUCCAAUUGGCGCCACGUAGCGAAGAGAAGAAACGACUGGCACGCUGUUGUUGACUCGACUAUAAUCGCGUAAGCGGUGUCUACGCCAGUACAGAAGAAGAAAAAGAUUUAAAAUAAACAAAUAGUAGGCCCAGUCGUCAAAGAUGUGUGUGGUCCAGCGUUGUCCUAAUGAAAGACGAAGCCUUUUCUGUUGAUCAGUUCUGGCCAUUUUUUUUUCGAUUGCUUGCUUCAAUCUCAUCAGUUGUUCACAGUAAAAUGUAGAAUCAACCGUUUGACAAGGCUGGAGCAGCUUAUAGUGGAUGAUUCCUUUCCAAUCGCAUCAAAGACCCUGCAUAUCUGUUCGAGGCGUCAAUCCUGGCUUUGUGAUCAUUUGUUGAGCUUCACCACACUUGGACCAUGAUCUUAUUGGCACAUUAUUGUCGUUUUUGAUCCACUUUUUGUCUCCUGUUACCAUUCUCUUCAAAAAUGGUUCGAUUUCAUUUCGUUUCAGUAAGGAUUCGCAGAUGUUAAUUCGGUCCAUUAAAUUUUUCACAGACAAUUCAUGUGGUACCCAAACAUCGAUCUUUUUUUUGUAGCUAGCCAUUUUUAAAUCCUGGUCACUCCUUUCCAUAAUUUCGUCGACUUUUCAACUAUAGUUUGACCAGAGCGAGGUGUAUCUUUCGCAUCCAAAUUUCCAAAUCGGAUAACGACAUUUUUUGCGACUUUUUCGACUACUCAAUAUUAUUUUCUUUUUUUUUAGAUCACCUUUUUUAUACAAUUUGAUAUAGCAAAUGUUGAAAAGGGUCUCUAAAAUUAACUAUAGAAAUAUUCUUUUCGCCUAAAGUUAAAGAAUUACUGAAAAGUUAUAUGAAGGAAGUUAAGGAAGCUUACAGUUGAACAUACACACUUUAAGUUAGCAGGGUUGCCAGCUGUUUAAAAUAUCUUUUUUUUUUGUUUACAAAAUUUUUUGGGCAAACAAAUUUUUACAUUAUAGGUAUCAAAAGAAGAUCGUUUUAAAUGCCCUAGCUAUUAGUCCUCAAUAAAUUUCUUUAAAUUAUGAAAGCAAAGAAAAUUUUAAAGCUUUUUGCAAUUAUUUUAUAUAUGUACAUAAGUAUUUAUUAAAUUAAAAUUAUUCGAAGCCAAAUAAUUCUUUCCAACCUCCGCAAUUUAUUAGAGCCAGCCAAGUGUCUGCAAAUUUCGUUAUCUUUAAAGCGUCUUCGCAGUCACGAAAAGUUCUUCAAAAAUAAACUUUCAGCUUUUUGCGCGCUUAAUGAAGCGUCCAAAAUGCUAUUUCCCUUUGCGGCCACCAAUCUUGCACUUUUAAGUGGCACCCCGAGAGCUAAAUAUACUCGUGCACUGCUGUGCGUACAUACAUAUGUACGUAUGGAUGUAUUUGUGUGUGUGUUUGUGAGUGAAUUUCGUCCUUAGUUUUGCUCAUUGCGCGGUUUGCACGCUCUUUCGCCCCACAUUUUUUUUUGCAAACAUGGAGAGGUGCAACAAAUUCAUAUAAAUCACGAAGAAGCGGAUAAAUAAUGGCAGCAACGGUGGCAAGAUUAACAACAAAAACAACUGAAAUUGAUUUGCAUGUUUUUGCGACGCUUUUAAUGCCGCUGAUGAGGGGCCGUAAGGUGCGCGUGAACUCAUUGGUCAGAAUGAAGUUGCUUAUGUAAAUUUUUGUUGCCGUUGUUGUUGUUGUUUGGUCUAAGCGCCAAAGAAAUUUGCAGUUUAUUGAAUGGCUGUCGAUCGCUGCGAGGCGAGCAUGAAAAGCGUAGCAAUUGUCAGCUAUUGAGGGAAAUGCUAAGACAGCUGCCGAAAACGAAAUAUACAUACAUACAUAUGUGUGUGUGGGUGUGUGUACGUGCGUCAAUCGCAAAUAUGCAGUGCUACGUAGGAAUGUGACUGUGUGCGUGCCUCAAUAUUAAAAAAAUGGAAUUUAUUGGCAAAAAUGCAAUUAGUUCCGUUCUAGUUGAGCAUAUUCACACACACACACACACACCUACAAACAUCAUGAGCAGCGUUUAUCUCUUCACUCACAUAUUCACUUUUACGCAAAUAAAAAUUGAACGCUUGAAAUGCAUUGCUUUGAUUGCCACAAGAAUUAUUGGAAAUUUAUGCAAAUCGCUCCAAUCGAUUGCGAACAUUUCCGCUUCCUCUUCGCUUUGCUUCUUUGCCGUCGCCGUCCUCGACGCUUUAGCCAGGUUCCUCUGCCUCUAGCAUUGCAUUAUGUGUGGGGGUGUACAUUUUUUGUGUUUUUUUUACUAUUUUUAGGUUUGGUUUGGUUCCUUUUAUUGCUUUCGUAUUAUUAAUUUUCGGUUUUGCCAAAAUUUCGUUCACCGCUUUUAUUGGCGUGUCUUUAAUGGUGCGCCAACACACAGCUUGAUGGCAAUAAUUCAUUGCGAUUUUCAACAUGACGUUUUCACCGUGUCACCAACAGCGCCAAUGUCUAUAUGCACUGCAUUUGCCUGUGUUAAUGUGUUUGUGUAUGCAUGCGAACUUAAAAUAUAUAUCUACUUAGUAGGACAUAUUGGCGUAUUUUUGGCUUUGAACGAACUUUAUGUGACAGAAAAGUUUUCACUGAUUCUCAUGCCACGUUCUGUUGCAUGAUCUAUACUGCGUAAAUAUUGAAAAGCAAUAAAUGUGGUUGACAAAUUUGGUUUAUGACUUGCCUGAUUUAUGGUAAAAGCCUAUCAAAAUCAAUAAAGUACAAAUAUUUAGGCUAUUUGGGUGCAAAGCAUACACAUGUAUAUUUAUAAUAAAUUCGUGUAUACUUUUAUAUACAUAUAUGUAUAUGUGUCUAUAUAAUGAAUUAUAUUAUAUACUGGAAAUGACAAACUCACGUUUCCAAUUGGCAUUGCAUUUCCAGAGUUGUUCGAUGAUAUGGAAAUACCCAACUCGCUUUUUUUAUACCAGUUGUUUGAUCGAUUUGCUAUUUUGUAAGAUUCGGUGCAUCGAAGACGGUACUAUGUCUUAUUUUGAACUUUUUACCAUUAGCGGAGAAUUAGGGCGGCCAAUUCAUUUUUCGAAACUUUCAUUCGCGGCACUUAGAUGAUGAAAAGGUAAACAACCACCGACAUGAUUAUGUUCUGAGUUAAAAAAUGCACCAAAAACUCUUAAGAAGGAAUACUCGUGCAUAUAUAUUCAGAGUGACGUUCGAAGCCAAAAGGGUGAUAUCAAUUAAAUUUUAAAUCUAUUUGAUUUGAGUUAUUGAUUGAAUAAUUUCAAAACUGCAAAGUUUUAAUAUAUAGUCAAUUUACAAAAUGUGCCUAAAUGUAGGCAACGUUUUAUACUGCCUAACAAUUUAAGGAAAAUGAACUCGUGGCCUAUGUUUAGGGACUUGUGCUAUCUGAAGGUGAGUCCUUUUACAAUGAAGAGGCCAAGGCAAAGGUGUUUUCAGCAGGAAUGGCAGCUUAUUUAUAGGCUAUGAACUAAAUUUAUAUGACUCAUUUCAUGCCUACAGUUAGGCUGAUGAGUGGCAGGUGAAGAGAACGACAUCGAUUUAGCGCUAGAUGACAUGUAAAGGUUCUUAGGUAUAUAGAUCGUAGCAUGAACAAGUAAUUACUUUUCGACGACUAUCUGCUAGUCCUUCUGCAUCCAAGCUCCGGAGAUAAUUUCUGUUGUGCCUUAAAUGCUAUUAUAAGCAGAGUAACGAAAUUUGGGCUAUAAUUGAUUCUGGAAGCAAUAAGUUUGAUCAAACCUUUUUCAUCAUAUGUGUGAUCAGUUGUGCGAAUAUUCCGUAUCUGGUAACUUGAAUAGUUUAGGACCAUUUUCAAUAAUUUUUGUACAUUAGGUGGCAUACUUUAAAUACAUUAUUCGGUCAAUGUUUUAUCCCGAAUCGGAUGGAACUUAAAAUUGGGUUGCAUGGGAAGUAGGCAUGGCUGUUGUCCGAUUUGGUUUGUUUUCGCACCUGAAUAUGGGAAUGUCAAAGUGACAGUUUAUACGAAAUUUGUUCGAUAUCGGUCGAGUAGGUCCUGAAAUAUCUUUAAUUUAAUCUUUAAUCUUAAAUGUGCGAAGAGAAUUUUUCACCCAAGCUCCAAAAAGGGCUCUUCUAUGAUUCCAGGUGUAAAAUUUCAUACUUCUGGCAUAUUUAUCUAUUGAUUUAUCGUAUUAUGGCACUUUAUAGGCUUUCUAUUAAUGGUAUUUGUGGCAGUGGUCCAAUUACGUCCAUCUGCGAACUUGUUCUCAAAUUUUUGCCAGGCUCAUUAGAUAUCUUAAUUUUUACUCAAGUUAUCGCUUACACAGGUGGACGGACGGGCGGACAGACAGACAGCCACAAGGAUUUCAACUUUUCUCGUCAUCCUUAUCAUCUAUAUAUAUAUAUAUAUAUCUACUAGAGGACCCGCCCAAGUUUUACUGUGGCUGUUACAUAGGUAGUACUACUAAUACCAUCUAUAUGAUUUCUAUUAGUUAGAUUAUAAAUAUUAUUUAAGAAAUAAUCGCAUUUUUGGUGAAGCAACUUGUGUUAGUUUACAAAAAAAUGAAUCAUAAAGAAUUUCGUGCGUUAAGAAAGAAUUGGUUUUUGGGGUAAAAAUACUAUUGAAUUUGGGCUGUGCAUCAGUGAAAUCAAUCGAGUCCAAUCGAUUGUCAGCCUAGUGGACUGCAUAUUAAGAAAUGGUUCUCAAGUGUGAAAAGACAAAAAAAUCGGCUGGCAAGGUUAUGGCAUCAGUCUUUUGGGAUGCCCGUGGUAUAUUAUUCAUCGAAUGAUAAGUGAACCAGUUUUAAUUCAUUGCAUUGUGUAUUUGAUUGCAGUUCUAUUCUACCAUUCCUAAUAUUUAGCAAUUUUAUUAUUUUUCAGAAAGGAUCAGUUUGAAAUUGUACGCAUAUACAUAUGUAUUCAUCGUUCCCGUUUAAAUAUUGCAUUGCUCUGUGCAAUGCUUCGAAAAGAUUUUCUCAAAUUUUAAUAGACCUUUUUAUCAACACUUCAGUUAUGCCACUAUUUUUUAUGCCAGACCUUUUGCAAUUGUAAAUUGCCUGUCAAGAUACCCCCUCCAAUAGUUAGCAGGUAUGAAAAAAAUAGUAUAGCUACCCAUAGAUGUAUUGAAUGACCCAAUUUAUUACUUAAGAACGAACAACUCUGUCCACAAAAUGAAAACUUGAUCUACAGAUGUCGCCUUUUACUUUGGCAUCGUUUUGUUUAAUGCACGUUUACGCCAAUUUAAGGUUUGAAUAUUGAAUACUGCGAUGGUAGCGCCAUUCAUCGGUCAAACAUUUAAAAUUAGCAAUCAAUUACAAAUGAAAAAUUAAUUAAAAAAAACACUUUCCAGUGGACCAAAUUGUAAAUCUAAACCAUUCUCGAAUCUCCUUGAACAUACACACAAAAUUUCAUCAAAAUCGGUCCAUACGUUUAGGAGCAGUUCAAAUGCAAACACACGGUCAGAAGAUUUAUAUAUAUCAGCAUACUUGUUUUGCUGCUUCUAUAAUUUUUAAUAAAAUUUUCGAUUUUAGCUGUGUCCUUGCUGUGCCUUGGAUUGCCUCUUCUUUGCUGCAACUUCUUUCGCAAUUUCCCCAUGCAAUUACCAUGCUUCCACAAAGUCUCUCAUUUGUUAUUUUCUGCCAAAAACCCAGCACCGUUAUACUCCUUCCGCUAAUUUACUCGCACAACAAUACAAAAACAGAAACAAUUUUCCACGCUGUAAUUAAGUAAAAUAAUAACUACAAGUGGUUAGUUGGCUUCGUUCCGUCUUGCAACCCUUUUGCAGCUCAAAAUUCCAUUUACAACUGCUUUCAUUAUCUUUCGUGCUUUAGGAAUUCCUCUGGUGCUCCUUAGCUAUGUGUCUUUCGGAGUGAAUUUCGCGCUUUGUUCUGCAUUGCUUGUGAAUGAAUCUGCGCUGCCUUUAUUCGCCGGCAACGUUUUAAGCAUUUCGCUGCAUUCAUUAUUCACCGAUUCGCUACUCUGCGCUUCCUACCACUUACCGUUAGUACAAAUAAUUUUUAACAUUUUUCGUUGAAUACGAGUAUUUUCUGUUUGAGAUAAUUGUUUUUGUCAUACCAUCAAUUAUAGAAAUUCUAAUAUUCCACCGUGCUAUUUGGUAGGAAUGUGGAACGUGGAAAUAUUUUUGUCGAAGCGUUAUUGUUUUGCUAUUCUUCCACAGCUAUUGCAUUUCCACUAUUCUGCGGUACUUUGACUAUCCGGUUUGGCAAUGUUUUCGCCGCUUCCUUUUCGUGCUUUGCGCUCUUUUGUUGUGUAUAAACUUAAAUUGCGAGUAAAAACAAAACUAUAUCCGGCAAUUUGUUGUGCUCUCCCCAUUUCCCACCUUUAGUUGUAUGGAACAAUGUUAUAUAUGAUAUUUGUGUAUUAAGGUGAUCCUAAAAAAUAACGAAUGGGUAAUUAUUUUUGAUUUAGUUCCAAAUUUACUAUAUAUAUAUAUAUAAAUAUAUUAUAUAUCGAUUCCUUCAAUGUAAGCUUGUCAAAUUUAUCACCUUCCAUAUAUUUAUAAAAUCUUAGUUUGAGGAAAAUAUGGGACUAUUGGCUAUACCAUACCUGAAAUUAAUACUAAUACAGUAUAUUUACGAGAUGAAAUUUGAUUUAAACACGCUUAAAGUAGUUGUAUCUUUCAUCAAUGCGCCACACUCACCGCCUCUAAUCGGAUUAAAAUUUAUAUACUCGUAUCAAAUUUUAGAAUAAUUAUUUUCCUUUGUUCCCAAAGAGGUGUUUAAACUUUGAUUCCUUUAUGUCACGCCUUAAUGUAAUGUAAACCUGUAUAUUUCUUACAUCUAUCAUCACUAAAACUUGUAGAAGGUUCAAGCUUCACAAAAUAUUAUUCGGUCUACAUUUUUGGUACACCCUAAUUUGCACGUAUAGUUGUCGAUAAAUAUAUAUAAAGAGUUUGCAGUGCUUUUGUUGGCUGUCUCUUCAAAGUAACAAUUUGUUUAAUGGGUUUCUAUGUUUCAAAUUAUGCUUGUACAGGUCUAUAUGUAUAUGUAUUUGGGUAUAUAUUUCGUUCCCUUUUUGGCUGCAUCAACGCUGCUGGCGUUUUAGACCAGUAUGGAUUCAUUUUAAUUAUGUAGUGAAUAUUUUAAGUGUUGGCCUUCUUGAAAAAUUAUUUUUUCGCUCUGAAAGUGUGUCAAAAAUAUUUCAAAUUUAUUAAUUUAGGCUUCGUGGAUGGUGAAGAAUGAAAGGUCAUCUCUCGGAUUGGUUGAGGCGAGAGUUUGUGAUUAUUUUACAAAAAUAUUAAUUAAAAGUCAGGUUAUUAUAUACACAGCUUUUGUAAAGAUGUAUCACUGUGAAGUUUCUGUAGUAAUCUCAACAUAAAAGUUAUAUAAAUUUGUCCAGUCUAAGGCAGGACUUCGUAUAUGUUAUCUCAGAAGUAUUCCUGCAUAUGCCAGAAUCAGAGAGAAUAUCUUAGAUGUCAUUUUCUCUACCAAUUGUAACCAUUAUCCUUCACAAUGCAAUGAUUUAUGAUAAUAACAUGUUUUUUGGUCUAUGGAAUUCAUGAAAUGUAAAGCUCUAAACUAGUACUGUUUCAAUAACACAAAACCAAAUUGGAUGAGUAGGCGUUUUUAGCUUUAAUUUAGUCUUAGAAGAUGUAGUUAGUUCCGUGUAGUUCCAACUAUUCUGA